UACGAAGGGGGCUAGCGUCGCUCGGAAUUACUGGGCGUAAAGCGCACGUAGGCGGCUUUCUAAGUCGGGGGUGAAAUCCUGGAGCUCAACUCCAGAACUGCCUUCGAUACUGGAGAGCUUGAGUCCGGGAGAGGUGAGUGGAACUGCGAGUGUAGAGGUGAAAUUCGUAGAUAUUCGCAAGAACACCAGUGGCGAAGGCGGCUCACUGGCCCGGUACUGACGCUGAGGAGCGAAAGCGUGGGGAGCGAACAGG
rnacentral:rRNA from 1 species